rnacentral:rRNA from 1 species
UACAUGGGGUGCAAACGUUGCUCGGGAUCAUUGGGCGUAAAGCGCGCGUAGGCGGUUACUUAAGUUGGAUGUGAAAGCCCUCGGCUUAACCGAGGAAGUGCAUCCAAAACUGAGUAGCUAGAGUACGAAAGAGGGUCGCGGAAUUCCUGGUGUAGAGGUGAAAUUCGUAGAUAUCAGGAGGAACACCGGUGGCGAAGGCGGCUUUCUGGACACUUACUGACGCUGAGACGCGAAAGCGUGGGGAGCAAACAGGG